rnacentral:rRNA from 1 species
UACGUAGGGCGCAAGCGUUAAUCGGAAUUACUGGGCGUAAAGCGUGCGCAGGCGGUUAUAUAAGACAGUUGUGAAAUCCCCGGGCUCAACCUGGGAACUGCAUCUGUGACUGUAUAGCUAGAGUACGGUAGAGGGGGAUGGAAUUCCGCGUGUAGCAGUGAAAUGCGUAGAUAUGCGGAGGAACACCGAUGGCGAAGGCAAUCCCCUGGACCUGUACUGACGCUCAUGCACGAAAGCGUGGGGAGCAAACAGG